AACGAACGCUGGCGGCAGGCUUAACACAUGCAAGUCGAACGGUCUCUUCGGAGGCAGUGGCAGACGGGUGAGUAACGCGUGGGAAUCUACCUAGUUCUACGGAACAACAGAGGGAAACUUCUGCUAAUACCGUAUACGCCCUACGGGGAAAGAUUUAUCGGAAUUAGAUGAGCCCGCGUAAGAUCAGCUAGUUGGUGGGG
rnacentral:rRNA from 1 species